rnacentral:rRNA from 1 species
CAGUAGCCACGGGAAUACAGAGGGUGCGAGCGUUAAUCGGAUUUACUGGGCGUAAAGCGUGCGUAGGCGGCUUCUUAAGUCGGAUGUGAAAUCCCUGAGCUUAACUUAGGAAUUGCAUUCGAUACUGGGAAGCUAGAGUAUGGGAGAGGAUGGUAGAAUUUCAGGUGUAGCGGUGAAAUGCGUAGAGAUCUGGAGGAAUACCGAUGGCGAAGGCAGCCAUCUGGCCUAAUACUGACGCUGAGGUACGAAAGCAUGGGGAGCAAACAGGAUUAGAUACCCCCGUAGUCCCUGUCUCUUAUAC